rnacentral:rRNA from 1 species
UGCUAUACAUGCAAGUCGAGCGAACAGAUAAGGAGCUUGCUCCUUUGACGUUAGCGGCGGACGGGUGAGUAACACGUGGGUAACCUACCUAUAAGACUGGGAUAACUUCGGGAAACCGGAGCUAAUACCGGAUAACAUUUGGAACCGCAUGGUUCUAAAGUGAAAGAUGGUUUUGCUAUCACUUAUAGAUGGACCCGCGCCGUAUUAGCUAGUUGGUAAGGUAACGGCUUACCAAGGCGACGAUACGUAGCCGACCUGAGAGGGUGAUCGGCCACACUGGAACUGAGACACGGUCCAGACUCCUACGGGAGGCAGCAGUAGGGAAUCUUCCGCAAUGGGCGAAAGCCUGACGGAGCAACGCCGCGUGAGUGAUGAAGGGUUUCGGCUCGUAAAACUCUGUUAUUAGGGAAGAACAAACGUGUAAGUAACUGUGCACGUCUUGACGGUACCUAAUCAGAAAGCCACGGCUAACUACGUGCCAGCAGCCGCGGUAAUACGUAGGUGGCAAGCGUUAUCCGGAAUUAUUGGGCGUAAAGCGCGCGUAGGCGGUUUCUUAAGUCUGAUGUGAAAGCCCACGGCUCAACCGUGGAGGGUCAUUGGAAACUGGGAAACUUGAGUGCAGAAGAGGAAAGUGGAAUUCCAUGUGUAGCGGUGAAAUGCGCAGAGAUAUGGAGGAACACCAGUGGCGAAGGCGACUUUCUGGUCUGUAACUGACGCUGAUGUGCGAAAGCGUGGGGAUCAAACAGGAUUAGAUACCCUGGUAGUCCACGCCGUAAACGAUGAGUGCUAAGUGUUAGGGGGUUUCCGCCCCUUAGUGCUGCAGCUAACGCAUUAAGCACUCCGCCUGGGGAGUACGACCGCAAGGUUGAAACUCAAAGGAAUUGACGGGGACCCGCACAAGCGGUGGAGCAUGUGGUUUAUUUCGAAGCAACGCGAAGAACCUUACCAAAUCUUGACAUCCUUGAAAACUCUAAAGAUAGAGCUUUCCCUUCCGGGACAAAGAGACAAGUGAUGCAUGGUUGUCGGCUGCUCCU